UACGGGGGGGGUAAGCGUUGUUCGGAAUUACUGGGCGUAAAGGGCUCGUAGGCGGCCAACUAAGUCAGACGUGAAAUCCCUCAGCUUAACUGGGGAACUGCGUCUGAUACUGGAUGGCUUGGAUUCGGGAGAGGAAUGCGGAAUUCCAGGUGUAGCGGUGAAAUGCGUAGAUAUCAGGAGGAACACCGGUGGCGAAGGCGGAUCUCUGGGCCUUACCUGACGCUGAGGCGCGAAAGCUAGGGGAGCGAACAGG
rnacentral:rRNA from 1 species